CGACUACAUGAAGCUGGAAUCGCUAGUAAUCGCGGAUCAGAAUGCCGCGGUGAAUACGUUCCCGGGUCUUGUACACACCGCCCGUCACACCAUGGGAGCCGGGAAUGCCCGAAGUCGGUGACCUAACCUGGAAAAGGGAGGAGCCGCCGAAGGCAGGUCUGGUAACUGGGGUGAAGUCGUAACAAGGUAAC
rnacentral:rRNA from 1 species